rnacentral:lncRNA from 1 species
CCGUGAAACUCGUAUAUAAUGCCAUAGAAGGUAUCGUCGGACAAAAAGCACCGGAGAAAAGCCGGAAACAGACCCAUGUGAAGCUUCAGUGACCGUCUUUCAUGGCAGAAGCUGCUGGUCAAGCUUUAGAGAGAAAACAACAAUACAAGGAUUCCAUGGCUACUUAAGGUCGAGAGAAGUGAGGGAUGAGUAUGGCCGGAGAUGCGAUGAUCUUCAUCGGAGAAGAGGGACUAGGAGUUCCUAGAGAGAAGGGAGAGAAUUUGUUAGAGAGAUGGAUAGAUGGGCAUGUGUGAAUGAUGGUUUGGGAAGGUAGGUAAGAUUUAAUUAAGGUAAAGGGAUCUAGGCCAUUGAUCUUAUUUGAUCAAAGGCUCAGAUUAACCAGAGAUGGACCUGGUUAAAAUCAGGCAUGUAUGGGUCAUUAAAUUGGGUUAAAAAUUUGCCAUAAAUAGGGGGUUGAACUGGGCUAUAUUUUAAAUAAAAUCUGGCUAUAGUUUAAAUAGCCAAUUUUCCAUAAUUAAUUUUAUAAAAAGGCUAAAAUAGUUUAAAAAGAAAAAUUAGACACAUGGAACUAAAUAAUAACAUAUAAAUAUUAAUCUAAAAAAUACAAGAAAUAGUUUUAUAACUAUGAAACAUAGUUAAUUACGAAAUUGGCCAUAAUUUUAAUUUUGUACAAUUAGCCUUAAUAAUUCCAAGUAAAGUUGCAAAUAAUUUGAAUAUAUUCCAUAAAUUAUAUUUUGUUGUAUAUAUGGGAGUGAAGCCAUUAUUCACUAAAAAUAAUAAUUUGAAAAAUAUUUUUGGCCUUUAUACUGUAAAAAAUAAGUAGUAACUAAUUUUAAAAAAUCUCAAAAAUUAAAGAAAAUUACCAAAUUUCCCCAGCCUGCUUAUAUAUGCGUACAUAUACUAUUUUGAAAGUAUUUUGGGUGCAAAAAUAUAUAGGAAAAAAUUGGGUAUCAACAGCUGCCCCUCUUUAACCGAGGAGGAUGAAAGAGUUGUCGGGUAAAGAUAAGAUGGCCAAUUUUGACAAAAACGGCGAUUGUAGAAGAACUUUGACCUUGCUCUAGCUUGUGAGCUGCCUACAUAUCCUUGAUUUUACAGGAAUCAGGCCAUAUGUAGUUAAGGAAUCAUUGACGGGAUAUGCCGAUGGAUGUUCGGAAAAGACGGGUGCAACAGGGUUUUAGGUUUUUCAGGGGUUUAGAGGUCGGACGGUUGCGAAAACUGGAGCAGGAUCGCUCCUGCUGAGACGACCGUGCCGGCCGGUGUACCUGCAAAUGAAUGAUGUGCGGCUAUACUGCAUAAUUUAAACGUGAUGUAACUUCCCACUUGGACUAUGACUGCAUUCUUCGGACAAUUAAGAUGGCAUCUUCAUACUAUGACGUCCUGGGCUAUAAGGAGCAUAAAAGCAAAUAUUCACAGGCCAUGAAACGAUGUUCUAGUGCUAUGCGGAUGGUGCCUCUAAACUAUGACGCCUUUGAAUAAGUUUGCGAUAUUUCAUCCCAUGGGAAGGUGGCAAUAUUUCAGCCGAAUGAAUGCAAAGGGUGGCGAUGUUUCAGCCAAAGCGAGAAUUUAAAAUGCAGGGCGGUGAUAUUUCAGCAAAAUGAAAUUGGGUGGCGAUUUCUCAGACAAAUGCAAAUAAAGAAGGUAUAGCUUGACCUUGAAAGGCAGAGAGUAGCCUUAUGCCAUGCAAAAAUGCAGAUGAAGACAGAUGUUAGUCUCGAAAGGAAGAAGAUAGCCUUACGCAAGAUGGAUAAAGGUAUAGCUUAACCUUGAAAGGCAGAGAGUAGCCUUACGCCAUGCAAAAAUGCAGAUGAAGACCGAUCUUAGUCUCGAAAGGCAGAAGAUAGCCUUACGCAAGAUGGAGGUAGAGCUUAACCUCAUAAGGCAGAGAGUAGCGUUAUGCAAUGCAAAAAUGUAGGAUGGAGGCAGAGCUUAGCUUUGAAGGCAGACAGUAGCCUUAUGCAAUGCAAAGAACGCAGAUGGAGAUAGAGCUUAGUCUCAAAAGGCAGAAAAUAGCCUUAUGCAGGAUGGAGGCAGAGAGUAGCCUUAUGCAAUGCAAAGAAUGCGAAUGGAGACAUAGCUUAGUCUUAAAAGGCAGAGAAUAGCCUUAUGCAGGAUGGAGGUAGAGCUUAGCCUCAAAAGGUAGAGAGUAGCCUUAUGCAAUACAAAAAUGCAAGAUGAAGGUAGAGCUUAGCCUCGGAAGGCAGAGAGUAGCCUUAUGCAAUGCAAAUAAUGCGGAUGGAGACAGAGCUUAGUCUCGAAAGGCAGAGAAUAGCCUUAUGCAAUGUAAAAAAUGUAAAUGAUGGUGGUGAUUUUCUUAGCUGGUAGAUGAUUGAAAUAUCAAUCACUGCUAGGGAAGCGUUGAAUGUAGAUAGUGAGCCUUUGCGAGGUAAGUAGUGGUUCGGGAACUUCAGCUUUAUAAAGCUCAUGCAUUGCCUAUUUGUACCCUGGAUUCCUGCACCCAAAGAAAGAUCGGGAGUUCUGUAAGGGGGUAGUUAGUUUGCAUCCGUCGACUCAUGCCAUUUUGUACCAUUUGGGGCAGCAUCGCUGAACGAUAGUGAUCCAAAUGAAUUUAUGCAAAUUUUGGCAAUCAUGAUGCAAAUGUAUAAGUAUAAGUAAAGAAAAUAUUAUUUUAUUUUAUGAUGAACCGCAACUGUAACAUGGUUCAAAAACGGCAACCUUGCUGGCUCUGGAAUUUUGUGGGUCCGCCUCAAAAUUAUACCCUAGUUCACUGGGCUGGCGUUGUUGACGGUGCUGGCGAAUGACUGGAAGCGGAUAUACCUUUGAAUUUUGAGGGUCGUCCACAAAGGUUUGCUCAAAUUUACUACGUCAAUGUUUGAUACGAAAAUUGACAAGUUGACUCCGGAAUUUUGAGGGUACUCCUCAAAAUUCUGCCCCAGUUCCAAAUGCUGGGGAAAUGGAAUUUUAAUAAAGAUGUGACCGAACUCAUAGGGUUGCCUACGUAUCCCCUCUAAAAUGUGAAGUAGGUCAGGCGUAGUUUAAAUUACAUCAUAAAGAAAAAGCAUACCGAUUAAAUGUAGUAUUUCUUAACUGCAUCUGAGUUGAUCGGUUUUGGCCACAUUUCUCUAUCCAUGUACAGACCCUCCCAGUUGGGAGAGAACUUCCCUUUGGCUUCAUGUUGAUGUUGAAAUAUCUUUUUCAACACCAACUGUCCUGGUGUAAACUUCCUUGGUCGGACUCUCUUGUGGAAGGCUUUGGACAUUCUGUUCUGAUAAAGUUGAUCGGUUUUGGCUAGAUUUCUCCAUCCAUUUUUGCAAGAAUAAGGGCUCCUCAAGUUAGAACCCACUGAACCAUGUACGGACCCUCCCAGUUGGGAGAGAACUUCCCUUUGGCUUCAUCUUGAUGUUGAAAUAUCUUUUUCAACACCAACUGUCCUGGUGUAAACUUCCUUGGUCAAACUCUCUUGUGGAAGGCUCUGGACAUUUUGUUCUGAUAUAACUGACCGUGAUAGACAUCAUUCGUUCUCUUUCCAUCUAUAAGGGCUAACUAUUCGCAGUGACCCUUGACCCAUUCUACGUCAUCCAGCUAAGCUACUUGUAUGAUUCUCAAGGACGGAAUUUAUACCUCGGCGGAAAUUACCGCCUCUGUACCGUAAACUAGCAUGUAGGGAGUUGCCCCGGUUGAUGUGAAAACUGUAGUACGAUAACCCGAUAAAGCUAAUGGCAACUUCUUAUGCCACUACUUAUGCCUUUCAAUCAUUUUCCUUAGUAUUUAUUUUAUGUUCUUGUUGGGUGCUUCCAUGGCUCCAUUCAUCUGGGGUCUAUAAGCUAUAGAAUUCCUGUGCUAGAUCUUGAACGUUUCAAACAUCUCUUCCAUCAAAUUGCUAUUGAGAUUGGAACCAUUAUCAGUGAUGACCGACUCUGGAACACCGAACCGACAGACAAUACGAUCUCAGAAAAAGUCUGCCAUGACUUUCUUGGUUACUACUUUGUAUGAUACUGUUUUGACCCAUUUAAUAAAGUUAUCAAUUGAUAAUAAGAUGAACCUAUGUAUGUUUGAUGCGGCAAGCUCGAUUGGUCCAAUAACAUCCAUUCCUCAAGCGAUGAACGACCAUGGUGAGCUCGUUGCAGUGAGCUUGUUUAGAGGUACCUUUAUCAUAUCCGCAUGUAUCUAACAGCGGUGACACUUCCGGACAUACUGAAUGUAAUCCAUUUCCAUGGUCAUCCAAAAAUAUCCUGCUCUAAGUAUCUUCUUUGCUAGAACAAAACCGUUUAUGUACGGCCCACAAGUCCCUGAGUGCACUUCGUCGAAUAACUUUGUUGCUUCUGUCGCAUCAACACACCUCAAUAGUCCCAAAUCGGGAGUCCUCCUAUAUAAGAUUCCUCCGUUGUGAAAGAAAUUGUUCGACAACCUUCAAAGCGUGCGCUUUUGAGUAGCAUUAGCAAGCUUUGGAUAUUGUCUUGUUGUUAUGUACUCAUUCAUGUCAUGGAACCAGGGUUUUCCAUCGGCUUCUUCCUCAACAUGUGCACAAUAUGCCAAUGAAAUUUGUAUCUGGAUGCUGAGUCAUGGAUAAUAAAGUGGCAAGUGCAUCUGUGAACUCAUUCUCUAUUCGUGGAACAUGUUCGAAUUAAAUUUUUCUGAACCUCUUUCUCAACUCUUGUAUGUGGUGCAGAUAAGGGGGUAUCUUGGAAUUCUUAGUUUCCCAUUCUUCUCGAACCUGGUGUAUGAGUAGGUCUGAAUCCCCAAUCACUAGCAGCUCCUGAAUGUUCAUGUCAAUGGCCAGUUUGUGGUGCAGAUAAGGGGGUAUCUUGGAAUUCUUAGUUUCCCAUUCUUCUCGAACCUGGUGUAUGAGUAGGUCUGAAUCCCCAAUCACUAGCAGCUCCUGAAUUUUCAUAUCAAUGUCAGUUUAAGCCCGAGGAUGCAAGCUUCAUACUUGGCCAUUGGUGCAUGAGAACCUGAGUUUGGCAGAUAAAGGAUAAUGUUGACCGGUUUCUAAUACCAGGACUGCUCCAAUACCAAUCCUUUGAAAUUUGCAGCUCCGUCGAAAAACAUCCUCCAUUCGUCAUAGGAUUAUGCAAUAUCCUCUCCUACAAAAGUUACUUCCUCGUCAGAAAAAUACGUCUUCAAUGGUUUGUACUCCCCUCCUACAAGAUUUUCUACGAGAUGAUCUACCAAAGCAUGUCCUUUAACUACCUUCUAGGUGACAUAGACAAUGUCGAAUUCACUCAACAAAAUUUGCCACUUGGCGAGCUUGCCAAUAGGCAUGGGCUUCUGAAAAAUAAACUUUAGCGGAUCCAUGCUUAAUAUAAGGUAUGUAGUGUUAGCACAGAAAUAAUGCCUCAACUUCUGAGCUAUCCAAGUCAAAGCACAACAGGUACAUUCUAGCAAGGAAUACCGAACCUCGUACGGGAUAAAUUUCUUGCUGAGGUAGUAAAUAGCUUGCUCAUUUCUCCCCAUCUCAUCAUGUUGUCCCAAGACCAAAAAAUAUGCUCCAUCCAAAACUGCACGAUAGAGCAAUAAAGGACUCCCAGGCUUAGGCGGAACCAGGACUCGAGGCUUAGAAAAAUAUUCCUUGAUAAUGUCAAAAGCCUUUUGACAUUCAUCGGUCAAUUUGGUGGUGGCAUCCUUUUUCAGCAUCUUAAAGAUAGGUUCACAGAUGAUGGUAGACUGAACUAUGAACCGGCUAAUAUAGUUGGGUCUCCUCAAGAAACUCAUUACCCCUUUCUUGCUCUUCGGCAGUGGAAACUCCUAAAUAGAUUUGACCUUUGAUGGACCCAACUCUAUUCCUCGGUGACUCACGAUGAAACCCGAUAACUUUCCCGCAGGGACCCCAAGUGCAUACUUGGCGAGAUUCAGUUUCAAGUUAUACCUCCUUAGUCUGUUAAAAAACUUUCGAAAGUCCUCCAUGUGAUCUAUAGCCUUCUUGGAGUUAAUGAUGAUGUCAUCCACAUAUACCUCAAUCUACUUAUGUAUCAUGUCAAGAAAGAGAGUAGUCAUGGAACUCAUAUAAGUAGCUCCCGCAUUAUUCAAUCCGAAUGGCAUCAUUCUGUAGAAAUACAUUCCCCAAGGCGUGAUAAACGUCAUUUUCUCUACAUCUUCUUUCUCCAUCCACACCUGAUGGUACACUAUAAAGAAAUCGAUGAAUGACAGCAACUUAUGCUUGGCGCAGUUGUCGAUCAGAAUGUAUAUGUUUCACAAGGGGAAAUCGUCUUUGGGACUGGCUCGGGUGAGAUCCCGGUAGUCGACACGGACUCUAACUUUCCCAUCCUUAUUCGAUAUUGGCACAAUGUUAGCUAAUAAAUUUGGAUACUCUACCACUUGAAGAACUCUGGCUCUGACCUGCUUGGUGACCUCUUUUUUGAUUUUUAAACUCUUAUCUGGCUUGCAUUUUCUGAGCUUCUCUUUUACCGGCAGACAUGCAGGAUGUGUCGGCAGUUUGUGAGCGAUGAUGGAUGUGCUGAGGCUAGUCAUAUCUUCGUAAGACCAUGCAAAGAUAUCCCCAUAUUCCCUCAAUAACUCUGUAUAUUCCUCUUUUUCUAUUUGUGAUAAGUGCACACUGAUGCGCGUUUCUUUGACAUUCUCUGUAUCUCCCAAAUUGACGACUUCGGUUACAUCCAAAUAGAACUUAGGUCUAUUCUCAAAAUUAUCGGCCUCUUUGACAACCUCUUCUGGUAUAUCAUCCUCCUAUGAGUCUAUGUCUGUUUGUUUCAUAGCCUCGUUGCAAGUUACAGUUGUUGGUUCAUCAUCAAGAUACGCAAUAGUAAUGUUGUACGAAACUAAAGUAGAUAGCAGAGAAAAGUAAUGAAUAGCAAGAUAUUUGAAAAAUUGAAAAUGCUUUUGAUUAUAUUCAUAAACGUUCAAAACAUCAGAGCUCUUUUGGAAAAUAAAGACAAUGCGCAAAAUAAAGAAAAUAACUAAAACAAACAUGCAUGAUGCUUGUUCAGCCUUGCUACCCCGAAGGUUUUCGGGAGAUGGUGGUCCUGAUUGACCAGUUGGUGAGGUGCUCCCCUUAGUUUACAGCCUGAAUGAAAGGGCCUUCCUCCCCUUUCUCUUCAAAAAUCACAUAACAGUCCUUGUUUUUUGUAGAAAUAGGUUCUUCAUUGCCGCAAGAUCCUCGUCUUAUUCUGACCCAUACAGAGUGUCGUCUGGUUGAAAUGUCUACUCCAACUGAGGUAUGGGGUAAUCCAAUGGGUAAUAUGGGUCGCGCCAUGGUGGUGAAUAGUUUUGGAAUUCUUGCUAAGUGUACUCGUAUCCCAGUCCGAAAGUAGUACCACGUUUCUUCAACUGGAUAGGUUUGGUGAUACCUUAAAGAUUCUUACCAAGCCCUUUCCCUGGUUCAUACCCACUCAAAUUUAGAAUGCUCUCGACCUUAUUGCUCAACCAUUUGUCCUUGUCUGCUGUGUUGACCCGCACAAUAUGAUGAUAUGUUUCCCCGCCUAUUCUUUUUCUGCCUCUGACCAUCGAAAUGGUCUGGCGACUGUAGAUGGAGUUUGCUACCGUCGCCGUGGAUGAUAACUUCCUGAUGGUUCCACUCGAAUUUUAUGGCCUGAUGUAAGGUUGAUGCCACAACCCCAGUAGCAUGGAUCCAAGGUCGUCCCAGCAGUAUGUUGUAAGAUGUUUGCGUGUCGAUGACUUGGAAAUCAACAUCAAACCAAGUGGGCCCCUUUUGCAACCACAUGCUAAUAUCCUCGAGGUUGGACCUUUGAGAACCGAUAAAGCCUUAACAUUAAUAGCGCCAUCUUUUAUCUCAUGCAAUCAUUUGCCCAACUUCUUGAGGGUGAUCAAUGGACAGAUGUUGAGGCUAGAACCUCCAACGACCAGGAUUCUGGUGAUGAAAUGAUUCUCACAUUGCACAGUGAUGUGUAGUGCUUUGUUAUGAGUGAGCCCUUCAGGUGGCAAUUCAUCCUCGUGGAAGGUGAUUUUGUGACUUUCCAAUACCUUCCCUACCAUGUUCACCAUCUCUCCUCCCUAUAUGUUGCUCGAGACAUAAGCCUCGCUUAAUAUCUUCAUCAUGGCAUUUUUAUGUGCCUCGAAUCUCUGUAGUAAUGCCAAGAUGGAAAUCUUCGCCGGAGUCUUGCUUAGCUGUUCAACAAUUGAAUACUCUUUAGCCUGUAUCUUUCUCUAGAGAUCAUCAAGUGCAGCUUCAAUGGGAAGUGCAGAGGUCUGCUUGCUGGACUCAACUAGUUGCUCUGGUGUGUACACUCUGCCUCUUCUAGUCAUACCCUAUGUGGCAAUUGUUUCACCCGUGUGUGCUUUUCCUUUCCUUCUUACCUUGGCUGUGUAGUCCCAAGGUAUGGUAUUUGACUGAAAUGGGGUUAUGUCUGACAUGGCGACUGGAAUGCUCACCCUCUGGCACCAUAGCAACUUCAAUUGGUGGGGGUGCCUUUGGAGUCCCGAACUCAACCUCAAUUGGUUUUAGCACUUUUGCAGAAGGUGCCUCAAACUCAAAUGGUACAGAUAUAUUCAUCAUGUUGCCCUCAGAUUGUUGGAUUUGCACAAAAAUAGGAUUAAGAGUGACCGCCGGUUUCUUAGGCUCAUCACCUUAAGAUAUCAAACCGAUUAACCCUUCGGGGUCCAAGUCGUCCUCAACCUCAAUCAUGUGGAUGCCUCCACUUUUGUGGUCUGGUAGAGGGUUGUUACGAACAUUAGGAGCAGGCUCCUUAGCUAUGAUGACCUUGUUUUACAUUAAGGUCUGAAUUUUGUCCUUCAACGAACGACACUCGUCAUACGAACAUUAGGAGCAAGCUCCUUAGCUAUGAUGACCUUGUUUUACAUUAAGGUCUGAAUUUUGUCCUUCAACGAACGACACUCGUCGAUGGUAUGUCCCUUCAUCCCUGAAUGGUAUGCGAAGGUUUUAUUUGUGUUGAUCCAUUGGGAGGGGUUUUCUGGGUUUAUGGAUGGGAUGGUUGUAACAUAUCCGGUGGCUUUGAGCUUCUUAUACAGUUGGUCAAUAGGUUCAACAAUAACGGUGUACUGUCUGGGUGGUUUACGGUCAAAGUUUGGUCUUGGUCGCAGGAAGUUUUGGCGGGUAGAUGAUUAUGUAUAGUAAGGUGCUUGGGCGUCGUAAGCUUGGCAUACGGGUGCGGGUUAGAAAUAUCCUAGCGAGGUGGGCUUAUAUGUUGGUGAUGAAGACGUUUGGCAUACGGGAUGUGGAUUUUGAUAGGUAAGUGAAGCUGUUUGGUAAUUUAGAAGGGGUUGGUAUAUGCGUGGGGUUGGAGGGUAGGUUUGAUAUUUCAAGGGAGAGGUGUUUCUCUGCGCAGCCAAUGCGGAGUUUACAUCCUUUUUCUUCGACGUUCCACCAGAUUACAAGGCUUUGUUGGUGGCCUGCAAUGCCUCAAGGUUAGUAACCGUACCAUUUUUGAUCCCCUAUUUAAUCUUUUCUCCCAGCUUGAUGAUAUAAGUAAACUUAUGCCCCUGUAUCAACAUUAAUCUUUCGUAAUACUGUGGAUCCUGAGCACGGACGAAAAAAUUUUUUAUUUGUUCUUCUUCCAAAGCCAGUCUAACCUUGGCAACUUCCGACCUCCAACGAGUAGCAUACUCGCGAAAGGUUUCGAUGGGCUUUUUCUUCAAAUUCUUGACAUAGAACUCGUCCAGUGCAUUCUUAGUGUUGAACCUGAAACGGUCCAUGAAAUCGGACUCCAUGUUUACCCAACUCGUCCACUUCUUCACAUCUUGGCUGAUAUACCAAGAUAAAGCAUCAACCUGAAACGGUCCAUGAAAUCGGACUCCAUGUUUACCCAACUCGUCCACUUCUUCGCAUCUUGGCUGAUAUAACAAGAUAAAGCAUCACCUUUCAAGCUCCUCAUGCAUAGCUUCAUGUAGAUCUUUUCACCUCUACCAUCUCCCACUAACUUAUCACAAUACAUCCUGAGGUGAACCCUGGGAUCACCCGUACCAUCAAACAUUUCGAACUUAGGAGGUUUCUACCCCUCUAGGAGUUCGACAUCAGGUUGUACAUAAAGGUUUUCAUAAUUUAGACCCUCUACACCUUUAUUACCUUCCAUGCCUUGAACCCUGCUAGUGUGUUUCUUGAGUUCAGCAACCAAGUUUCGAAUGAGUGAGUCUGAUUCAAACACAUCUAAUAUGGGAUGUGUAUAGUAUGGCACAGUAUCCACAAAGAUAGGGGUAUCUUGAUGAUUUGAAGCAUUUUGAGGCUGAGGGAUGGGCGGUGGAGCAUUGUUGCGAUCUUGGGUCAAGGACUCCUGCGGAGGUGCAUGGACCUGAUUGUCGACAUCUGCAGCAUCAAGGGAGAUGGACAAGCUAGCCAAACUCCACACCUAGUCUAGUUCCUCUCGGAACAUUAGCAAAGUUUGCUCCAAAUGAGCAGCGAAUUCUUUGGUUAUUGGGGUACCUUGGGAAGUUCCUUCAAUGUUCUUUCUUGCUUCAUUAUCUCCCAUCUUUCCUUUGUUCCUAUUUUUGGGAGGAGGAGGAGGUGGACCCUUAGAUCUAUUGAGUAGGACGAUGGUGCCAAAAUGUACGAACUAACCUUUGGGGGGGGGGGGGGGAAAAAAAAAAAAAAAAAAAAAAAGGAAAAAAAAAAAAAGAAAAAAGAAGAGAAGAAAAAUAGAAAAAAAAGGGAGAAGAAAAACAACAACAAAAACAAGGAAUCAUUAUGAACUACGUUUGAAAAGAAAACAUUGCGGUAGUUAAACACAUUGUUGCAAGAAUAUAAGUCAUUUUUUAUUUGGGUGCCUUGUUGUCCCUGAGGUAGGCCUUGCGAUACAUACGAUUUGGAGAAUUUAUAACACCAAGUGCCUCAUUUUGUUGACAGAAACCAGAACGAGUCGAAACAGACUGUAAUAAAGAAAAUAGACUAAUGACCAAUGGCCUUAUUACAUCAAGAAAGCAGUAAAAUCCUAAUUACUUUAUCCUAGAAGGACCUUCCCCAGAUUCGGUAUCUUUGCCUCCCCCGUACAGUUUUAUCAGCUCGUGCACCCUCAGCAGCAAGUAAGCUCGAGCCAAGUGCCCAGCUUCGUUAUCUUCAGCUUCUUGAUAGUCGUUGAUCCUUUUUAGAAACUUGCCUUCCAACUCCAUUAGACCACACUUCAAGUAUGCUAAACGAUUAUUUUUGCGGACAAACAUGUCCUUCCAUUCAUUGAUUACCCUCUCUAGAGCCUCUUGUGUUUCCCGAUUUUCACUUUCACACUCUUACAUCCGCUUGUGUAGCUAAUUAUACUUGACCUUUGCCACAGUCUUCGCAUCAAUAACCCUGUGACCAUGGACGAAACCCAUUUUGCACAAGCCAAUAUGAUCAUCUUCUAACCACCUUGGAUAAAGUGGCGCAUGCCCUGCCUGAUACCUGUCUGUCUCCAUAGUUUCCUUUACCAAAAUGAGUUUGGAAUGCCACAUAUGCUAAGCCUGACACCUGUGAACAAGCCAACGGUGCAUGCCCUGCCUGAUACCUGUCUGGCUCCAUAGUUUCCUUUUCCAAAAUGAGUUUGGAAUGCCACAUAUGCUGAGCCCGACACCUGUGUGGGCGAUCGUAAUCUUGGAAAUCAGCCAUGUAAUGACUCAUCUUUUCCACCCUUGGUACAAUCUGCUUCCUUCCCGCUUGCCUCAUGACUCGUAGAGGGACAUAAGGGUAAGUUCCUCUUAAGCCAAUGAGUACAAGGAAUAGCACAUCUCUAGACCGAAUGAUAAACUCUCAAGUUGGAAACCACUCGUACAUCCAUUGUAUGUAUGCUUCUCUCAGAUUCUCCAAUAUUUCUACGCAUCUACUGCCAUCUUCCAGUUGAGCAAACAUAUCCAGCAUGAAGUGCACUUUAGAUAAUGGAAAGUGAUAUGGUCGUCCCAAUCUAGUCGUAUGAUCUUUUGUCUGUAGUCUCCCUUCUGAAGGUGUUAAAUGAGCCAGAUUAGUAAUAGCAAAUUGCACCCAUCAAAGUGCGGUGCCCCUUGUGGACAUUUUUCUAAGGCUCAGUACAGUUCGGGCAGGACCAUGGGUGCUAUGCUGAAUGUAUGCCCAUCGAUACCCUCUAUUACGGCUUUGGUCACCAUGGCUAGUCUUGUAUGGAUUCUAGCCUUCUUCAUCGGAAAGACUAUCAUGCCCGGGAAACAGGACAUGAAUACAAAGGCUCUCCUGUGUAUGUGCCCAAAGAGGUGAGGGAAAACUCGUCCAUAUGAGUGCGGUAUGAUUUGUUAUAUCUUAACCUUUCAUACAUGAAGUCGAAGGAUAUGUAGGAGUCAUUCAGACUGGUCAGAUUAGGAUUCUUGUUAAGCCCCAUCAUUUUCAAGAACCCUCUACCUUUGUGGUUUUCCGGCAUAAGCAACCCCGGUCUAUUCCAAGGAAUUCCGACUAGACCCCCAAUUUUUUAGAACAGCGGCCUCAUUUCAAUACCCCCAUAGCGGAACACAGACCGUUCACUAUCCCAAAACAUAGUAGCAGCUUCCACAAUCUUAUUAUCUGCCCUAACUUCCCAAUGUGAAGGAAGAUUUCCUAAGUGCUUGUGGACAAGAACUUGAUCACUACCAUUGAAAUCAUCCCACAAGCUUAGCAACUUUGGAUGAAUGUUUGAUACCAUGCCAAAUCUGGGGACCUCGUGCCUCAUUUUCCUCCAAAAUAGAGGGUUAGGCCCUUAACCCCACCGGACUUGACUAUUUAAAUCAAUAAUUAGCAAAAGGCAUUUAGUUCUCCAACUCAAUGCACAUAACAUGAAUGUUUGAUUGGGUUUUGAGGAAACCCGAUGGACUUUUGGCUUAGGCUGUCCUAAUGAGUUAUUAUGCGGACAACAUAACAUACUCGUCUAAGUUUGACCAUGAUGCAUGAACAUUAAAGUAGAGUAAGGAUUCUAUUUUGAAGUGCUCGAAAAAGUACCCUUGAGCAGAAAACUCUAGAGGGAAAGACACGGAACCGUCGACUAUACCGUUGAUCGACUGGUUUUACCGCAAAUAUGCAUUUUCCAAAUUUAAGGGUUUUGUAAAUAUUGGAAGAGCGCAACCACUCGUUAUAAGAGUUUCUAUAAUAUUUGUUUGGAACGAGUGGAAAAUGAUGCUGAAGGAUGCAAUUACAACAAUGAAAUAAGUAUAUGUAUUUUCACUUUCAUACAAUACAACAACAACAACUACUACUACAUAGUUGAAGAAAUGAAAUCAAUUAUGCUUUCUUUCCCAUCUCUUUAAUGUUUAUUUGUUUUUUCCUUGCUUUUAUUAUAUGAGUCUUUUUUCAGCAUCGAUAGGUUUUAUAAGGUUGGAUCGCUAACGGUGUUUGUUAUAUGGGUAACAACUCUGGCGUCCCCCUCGUAUAAACCUAUCUUUGUAUUUUUUUCUUAAUAGGUCGAAUACGGGAAGGUUGACACCCUUUCGCGUUAUUCACCUAUUUGUAAUAUUUUACUUCUAUUAAUAAAAUCAAAAAAUUGUGCAAAAAAAGAAAUAGAUUCCUUUCCCGUUUGAGGAAACGUUAUUCACCUAUUUGUAGCUUCUUUCUUCUUUUAAUAAAAUCAAAAAUUUUCUUCAAAAAAAAAAAUAACAACAACUACUACCCAGUAUAGUCCCACAAAGUGGGGUCUGGGGAGGGUAAUAUGUAGNNNNNNNNNNNNNNNNNNNNNNNNNNNNNNNNNNNNNNNNNNNNNNNNNNNNNNNNNNNNNNNNNNNNNNNNNNNNNNNNNNNNNNNNNNNNNNNNNNNNNNNNNNNNNNNNNNNNNNNNNNNNNNNNNNNNNNNNNNNNNNNNNNNNNNNNNNNNNNNNNNNNNNNNNNNNNNNNNNNNNNNNNNNGCAGAAAUGGCGUAAAUAAUUAUCUAAACAUAAGAACCAUAAAUAAAAUAGCAUGCAAUAAUAUCAUACAUUAACUACCAUAAAUAACUACCAGGAAGACUUGGAAUUUAAGACGGAAUUGAGAUAAAGUGAGUUAAUAAAGCAGUAAAAUAGUUAAAGAAAAAAAAGAUGCGAAGAAACAUGUUAGUAAUUGUGAAGAAAUGAUUAAAGCUAUAAAUAAUGUAGCAAAGAGAGCAAUAAAGUCAUGGAACACGUAAUGGUAAAAGCUUAAAAAGAAUUCCUCGGUAGAUUCGCCAUGUUAUGGAUGCUCUUUUUUUUUCCUAAAAGGGAAAUCGUGUUUUAUGAUAUUAUGGGCAAAACGACUCUAUUUCCCGCUCAGGAGUUGGGUUAUGGAAUUUGAAGAGUCGCCACCUAAUGAUUAUAGUGCAUUAGGACACUUUAAAAACAACUCUUAUUCCCUUUUGGGAAUUGGGCUAUGGAGUUUGAAGAGUCUCCACCUAAUGAUUAUAGUGCAUUAGGACUCUUUAAGAAGAGAAUAUUUUGACAAGAAAACCAGAGUUUGGGUAAGGGCUUGAGAUUAUCUGGAGGGGAAGGUAUUAGGCACCCUCAAGAUCUACUAAUGUGGUUCCUGGCCAUGUUUUUUUUUUUUUGGCAAUCCGCUAGGCAAACGCCUACGGCUAGAUUUUUAUUAUUAGAAGGCAUGUAAAAUAAAAUUACAAGGUAUUCGAUUCUUACGAGAUGAGGAAAUAAAAUUUGACAAUUACAUUCAUCCUAAUACCCAAUUUAAGUGAUGCACUUAAACUUGAUAUCACAUGAUGUAAACUACGAUCGAAAAUGAGAUGCCAAUCCACGGUACUGGAAUUAUAUCCAUAAGUUGCCAUCAUGGUCGAGUAACGUCCUUCCCAGUCGCGCGAGGACAGUCUGGAUUACUGGUAAGAUUAGUUCCAGACGAACUCGAACGUGCAAAACUGAUAUACGCCAUCACAGGCUGCCAGUCUAGUUAUGAUUAGCAUGCGUCUUAGAGGAAAUUCCCCAGAAAUCAAACCAGUGCCAUCUCCCAAGAUCGAGUAUAUCAGUAUGUUAGUGAUGAAUGAAGAAAUUGCCAUGCACGCCUGCUUCAGCUGUCUGGAGAAAGCAGUCCAGAUGAUUGGAUAUUCCCACGUAAAGAUCAGCAGGCGAGUAGAUGAAAAUCCCCAGAAAUAUUAGAUCUAAACAGUGGCAGCUCCCAAGAUCGACAAUAUCAUCUGAUGUCUGCUGAAUCUGCCAUGCACUCCAGCUUAGUGCUGUCUGGAAAAAGCAGUCCAGAUUCUUUUAAAAUGAAUAAACAAUACAAAAAGCUGAGGGCAGCACAUGAUAAUGAUAUCCAAGACAGCUUUUGCAUUGUUUAUUUGAAGAGGAAACAUGGGAAUUUGACUGCCCGAUCAAAUAUUUAUAAAACUAGUGUGACUGUCAUGUGAAAAUUUGUAUUCCCGGGUUCUGUCAAGCAGUCCAAUGAAGGUCUGAUUGUUUAAAAAUAAGGCCUUGUCUGCUGGUUCGAGCUUCCUGCGUGCUGUUGUUUCCACGUGAGUUGGAGAAGAUCAAUGCACAAUAAACUAAUGAACUUACGCGAGAAAAGUAAUAUCAUCUGCUUGAAGACCGAGAAUCCACAUUCACGCUUGCCUGAUACUUUUGAGAUUCUGGAUCACGCUUGAAUAUACACCAGGAUCAGCCACAACUGUUUGGUCGAGCUUCCAAUGUCCUGGUUGUAUAUAUAUCCUAUGCAAUGAUAAUCAGAUGCAGGCAAAACCUAAGAUUAUCUUCAUCAGAUAUUGUUAGUCUCAUACAUAUUUACGCAGUGAUUCGAGUUAUGCCAUUGAAUCCAGCGUGCAAAAUUAGAAAACAUUGAUCGAUGAAGGUAUCUAUAAUUGAAGAAAACUUCUAUGUAUUCUUUUGACUUAGCACUCCUUUGUCGAUUAAUAACGAUAUGCUGAUAACUGCAUAGUCGAGAUUAAGGUGUCGUUCCAAUGUUAUGCCGGUGCCUGCAAGAAAGUGAACAAACGUUAAUGAAAGAAAUUAUCUCCAUGUUUUCCCAUGACGCUCCUUGUGAGUGCCUAUUGUAUUAUUGAAGAUAUCAUUUGUUUCUUCACUUUCCUUCUCUAACAUCUCGCAACUCUUAUUCUCAGGUUAGGACAUUGCAGCUUAUACUCAUUUAUCAAUUUUCUGCUCAACGCAUCAAGUUCCCCGAAGUUAUAACUCUCAAUAUUGCCAGUGUCAAGUGCAUAAUUUGCAAGGUGGUCUGCUAGCUUGUUUCCUUCUCUGAAAAUGUGAGAUAUCUUGAAAGUACACCACGUUUUAAGUGUAUUAAUGUCCUCCACUGCAUCCACAAUAUUCUAGGGUGGUUUCCAUUGACCAUCUAUGAUCUUUUGAAGCAUCAUUGACUCUGUCUGAAGCCAAGCAUUGUUAAGGUUCAUUGCUUUGCACAUUCUCAUUGCCUCAACUAUUGCAGUCGCCUCAGCCUCAUUGUUAGAACCUUCCUUAAUUUCUCUACCUUCUGUAUAUAUCAAGUCUCCUGCUUCAUCUCUUAAACAAAAACCAAUUGAACUCAUCCCUGGGUUUCCUCUGCAUGCUCCAUCCAUAUUCACUUUGAUCCAGCCUUUUGGAGGAAAUUUCCAUAGCACUUUAUCAAAUUUCAAUUGAGGUGUGUAUUGUUUCAUCAUUGUCAGUAAGUCAAGCCAUUUGUGAGGCACGUGAAGUCCUGGUUUUUUCAGUUGUACUAGUGAUUGCAGAGUUGACGAAAUUUGGUAGAUAACUCUACUUACUGACACUGCUUCGCCAUAUUUCAAACUAUUUCUUCUCUUCCAUAACUCCCAUACAAUGCAUGGAGGUAAGGCUUGGAAGAUUGACUUCAAUCUAGGUACAACUGGAUUAGUCCAGCAUUUUGUAAUUGCUUGAUGUAAAGACAACCCUUCUAAAUGAAUUCCUGCUCUUGUUAGGAAGUACCUCCAUACAGUCGAAGCUGCAUUUGAUGUGAAGAAAAGAUGAGCUAGAGACUCCUCCUUAAUCGUAACUUUAUAUAAAAACGAUGAAACAAUUAAACAAGUAAGGUUCACACAUAUAGCAUUUCACACAACUUGAAAAUCCUUAAAGAAGAAAGAAGGACGUAAAUUUAAAAUAAAAAAGAGGCUUGAUUUGGAAAAGCAUUAUUAUAAAAGAACAUUUAGAUAAAGUAAAUAGAGGAGAGAAGGGUCCUAGGUUUAACUAUAAUAUGGAUCAUCCGAUGCAAUAUCCCACCCAUAUUCCCAAAGAGGGGUCGCUUUAUGAUAUUAUUGCAUCGUCAUCAUCUCCAUAUUCUACCCUAUUAUAUGGAUCAUUCGAUGCAAUGUCCCACCCAUAUUCCCAAAGAGGGGUCGCUUUAUGAUAUUAUCGCAUCGUCAUCAUCUCCAUAUUCUACCCUUCCUACCCCGUUGAGGUUAUUUAAGCGUGUGAAUUGGUCACGAAUACUUAUUUUGUGCUAUUACCCAUCUGAUCAUAUAGAUCCUAUAGAGAAUUUAGGAUCACUAUUCCUAUGAAGUAGGAACUAGGUGGAACCCUUAUGUUUAAAGGAUAAAAUACUAGACGAUAUACAAGAAAAAAUAGGAUCUGCAUAUAAAAAAUAUCAUAUAAAACAUACAAAAGGCUCAAAUAACCCUCUACAAGAGAACACGUAACUAUCACGUCUCAAACACAUGUAAGGUCUUAGGAAGAGAGAGUUUUAAAAGUGGGAGUGUCGACCAAUAUUUUUAAAACGACAACCGAAAAAGUUUUAAAACAGAAUUCGCAGAAAAGAGUUGGAUGAAGACUUUUGGGACUUGAGAAAAGCAAUGGAUGCGUGAUAGUUUUGGAAUCGGAGGGAAAACCUUUUAAACACAUUUGAAGAUACAUGCUAAGACAUAACACAUAUCAUAAACUAGUUUUCGGAUAGGAGAAGUUGAAAACAGAUGUGAAACUAUUCAUAGGCGUAAAAGAGCGUGUAAGUAUAUUAGUUUUGAACUAUAGUUUUGAAAAUUGCAGAUGAUAUAGUAUUCAGAUAAGUUGUAGAAAAUAGUCAUCCAAUUCUGAACUAGGAAGAAUAGUAACUUAGUAAAAAACUAUUUGCAUAGAACUGAUUGAAAAUAAAGCAGAAGUUAAUGUAAAAAAUCAGCGGACUUCAUAGAGACAAAAUUAUUUGAGCAUGACUUAAGGUGAAUAAUUAAUUUUUUCUAACCUAAGGUUUGCCUAGACGUUUUUUUAGCCAUAAGAGAAAGUGAACAUGCGUGUUUAUUUCCUCUUUUAAAAAAGGAACCUGUUAGCCGAUUUUACGUCUAUUUAACAAGAUUAGUGAGGCAUUCAACAGUUGCAAAAAAGAAAGACCCUAAGCACAUGAUAUCUAAUCCAUAAAAAGGCCCUAAAACAUGGUAUCUGUCGACGCCUCCUUUUUCCCUCUUUAAAAGAAAGCGAAAUCGGGUUUACAACAUUAUGGACAGAACAACUCUAUUUCCCGUUUGGGAAUUGGGUUAUGGAUUUGGAAGAGUCGCCACAUAAUGAUUAUAGUGCAUUAGGACACUUAAGAGAGAUUAUUUUUAAAAUAAAACUAGAGUUCGGGUAAGGGCUUGAGAUUAUCUCGAGGAGAAGGUGUUAGGCACCCCUCAAUUCGGGUAAGGGCUUGAGAUUAUCUCGAAGGGAAGGUGUUAGGCACCCCUCAAGAUCCACUAGUGUGUUUCCUUGCUGUGUUAAUUGUGACUUUAUGAAAGGUGAAGCAAUUAAGCCAGUAAGUCUCACAAAUGUAGCAUUAAUAUAACUUGAAGAAAAAAGUAUCGAAGAAGAAAGAGGUACGCAAAUUUAAAAUAAAAGAAAGUUGAUUUGAAAAGCAUUACUAUGAAAGAACAUUUGAAUAAAACAAGCAAAAGAGAGAAGGGUCCUAGGNNNNNNNNNNNNNNNNNNNNNNNNNNNNNNNNNNNNNNNNNNNNNGGUAUCGAAGAAGAAAGAGGUACGCAAAUUUAAAAUAAAAGAAAGUUGAUUUGAAAAGCAUUACUAUGAAAGAACAUUUGAAUAAAUCAAGCAAAAGAGAGAAGGGUCCUAGGUUUUACUACAAUAUGGAUCAUUCAAUGCAAUAUACCAUACAUAUUCCCAAAGAUGGGUUGCUUUAUGAUAUUAUCACAUUGUCAUCAUCUCCAUAUUCUACCCUUCCCACCCCUUAGAGGUUAUUUAAGCGUGUGAAUUGGUCACGAAUGCUUAUUGCGCGCUAUUACCCAUCCCGUCCUAUAGAUCCUAGAGGGAAUUUAGGAUCACUAUUCCUAUAAGGUUGGAACUAAGCCGAACCCUUAAGUUUAAAGGUCAAAAUACAGAUAAGAAUUGCAUACAAAGGAAUCAUAUAAGACAUGUAAAGGCUUAAAUAACUCUAAGAGAAUAUGUAAUUAGCAUGUCUCAAACACAUGUAAGGUCUAAGGAAGAGAGAGAGUUGUAAAAGUACGAGUAUGAAUUGAAAUAGAAGAGGGGGAGUUUGCUGAAAAACAUAAGAGAAAAAUGUUAUAAGUUCAUUUUUACAGAAAUAUGCAAGUCAUUUAGAAACAUUUGGAAGGCCUAGUAAAAUGGUUUCGUCAGACAGAGUAAAAGACUAAGCAUGAAAGCAUUUUGAAGUUACAUAACAGUAAACAUAUAUGCCUUUUGAGCUUUUAAAAAUUAGUAUGCAGACAGUUGAAAUAGUGGUCUAAUCUGGACAGGAAAUGCAGCAAAACAUUUUUGAUUUAAAAAAAAAAAGUGGGACAGACGUUUGUGAAAAAAAUGGAGAGGGCUUUCAAAAACUAAUGGAUUCCGACCGAGGUUAAUUAACUAGAAUCAAGACAUGAAAGUGAUUAGCCAAUUUUAUCAUUUUAUCCGGCCUAAGAUUUUCCUAGGCGUUAUUAAAAAUGUUGAGCAUGCAAUGGUUUCUGAUAACAAGGAGUCAGUUUUACUAUUUUAUUUAGCAAGAUUAGUGAGUCAUUUAACAGUUACAAAAGAGAGACCCUAAGUAUAUGACUGCUAAUGCAUAUAAAGGCCCUAGAGCAUGGUAUCUAAAUGCAAUGCCAUAAUUCUGAUUAUUAACUGAAAGAUAACGAGCUGAUAGUAAAAGAUCUAAAAACAUGAUCUCUAUAUGUGAGAUGCAUGCCCUAUACAUGGUUUCUAUUACUUAAAUAGGUAAGCAAAACUCUAUUUCAUGCUUUCUACCUAUAUCUUUAUAACCAUGCAUAACCCUCCCCAAUUUAACUAUAAUACUCCAUUGUUCUUUACAAAUUAUUAUAGCCAAGUAAUUGAAAAUACAACAGUGAUAAAAAAAUAAGAAGUUAUUGUAUAGAGAGCCUUCAGCCAGGCCCAAGCAUCUCCAACCUCACUCCUUUCGAGUUUCACAGCCAUUACCAAGGUUUGCGCGCGGCAAAGUUCCCUAAAGAUUCGUUGGAACCCCUAGCCAAUACCAAGCACCAAAACAUGUCCCAAUUAGACAAACGCAAACAUUGGAAGUGUCAGGCUUGUAUAUCAUAGUUCCAUGGGAGCUCAAAGCUCCAAUGGUGGUGCUUACACUAAAGGGGCAUACCCUAAAGUCUAAGAAUGAGAUUAUAAUUGAGAGAGUUUAAAACAGUUGAGAAAAGAUUUAAGAAAACCAGUUGACAGACAUGGAUGCAUGGUAGUAGCAUUCAAAGAAAACAUUAUUGAGACAUGGAGGGGAUAAGGGAACAAAUAAGUAAAGGGAACAGACAACAUGUUGGGUAAACGUAGUCAGACAUGGUUAAAAACAAGGGUUUAGCUCUUACUAUACCAAACCCCAAAUUUAAUCAACCUCAGAGAGAGGUUUCAGGGCUGUUAAGUAGCCAAGCAGUGGUGCGCAUGGAAGAAGAACAUGCAUUGCGACAGGGAAAGGGGAAUAAGGGAAAAUACGCUAAGUUAAACUAGUAGACUAGUAAGUAACAUGCUAGUGACAAAGAUAGCAACAAAACCAUAGAUAAAAGCACAGAAGAAAUAAUAUGAAUUGCAAAAUUAAUAGGAACAUGUUGUUUUGGAAAAUGUAUCUCAAAUAGGUGACAUACCGGUUGCAGGAAACAGGAUACAAUAGCAAUGUAAUAGUGCACAAAAGGAGAGCAAAGUGUGCAAAGAAUGACAGCAGCAAUGCGAGAAUAACAGCAGUAGGAAGAUAGUAGCAGCACUAGGAGAAUAGCAGCAGCAACAGACCUAAUAUAGACAAACAAAUAGAGCCCAGUAGUGUAAAGUAACCAAUUAAGUUACUCAAUAUUGGCUGUUAGCCAAUUGAGUGUGUAAAGAAGACAAUCAGAGAGUAUAGUAAUAGCAGAGAAAAAGAGAAUUAAGAGAGUUUUAGAUUGUGAGAGCAGUGUGUAUUGCGUUUUUCAAAGAGACAAUCUUUGAGUAUUUACAGUACUAAAACGAGUAAACAAAUAAGGUGUCAAUCCCUAUUUAAGUAACUAAUAUCAAUCAUAAUCAAAUAAGCAUACGGACUCCCCAUUAAUUAAGGUAUUAUAGUCAAACGGUAAUAAAAUGUGUAAAGAAGAGAAUCAGAGAGUAUAGUGAUAGCAGAGAAAGAGAGAAUUCAGAGAGUUUUAGAUUGUGAGAGCAGUGUGUAUUGUGUUUUUCAAAGAGAGAAUCUAGGAGUAUUUAUAGUACUAAAACGAGUAAACAAAUAAGGUGUCAAUCCCUAUUUAAGUAACUGAUAUCAAUCAUAAUCAAAUAAGCAUAGGGACUCCCCAUUAAAUAAGGAAUUAUAGUCAAACGGUAAUAAACAGUACCUUUUUUUAAAAGGAAAAGAAUCACAAAGUAUGGAUGGUCACAUCAGAAACAAAACAGUAUAAGGUAUACAAUGCAUACUAGGUACGUGAGACUUUAACCAGGGAAAUCUGUCAAGCAGAUAAGUAGACAUACUUGUACACAUAUAUAAGGAAAAGUAUCAUUUUAAUUCAGGAAAAUAAUUUUCGAGAUUGAAAACCUAGGAAAUCAAAUAUUAAUUGGGGUAUGUAUCCCACUGAUUGAGGUAAUCAAUACCAAAGUGUAAAGGAAAUACAAAAUCACAAUUUUAAAUUUAGUAAUCAUAUCCGUAAAGAGAUGGUAAGAGUCAGUAUCACCAUAUAAACAAUUAAAAACCUCAAGAGAAGAACAACAACAUGGUAUGGGAAUAAAACGUUAGCAACAAAAAUCAAAGCAAAGGCACGGAGCUCAUAGAAGAAACGAUAAGAAACAUGCAAAUAGGCAAAUACAGAUACAAACAUGUAGGGUUAGGGUUUUUUAUCAAAUUUAAGCAAAAUACAUUAGGAGUAGUAAUGAGAGCCACGGAUUAGUGCUAAAAGUCAGAAAAGCAAAGUAUUUUCGAAAGGGGCUAAGAAACCCUAGAAAUCACAGUAUGAAACCCAGGUUAAAAAAGAAAACAAAUAAACAAGUGAAAUAAACAAACAUUAUUGCAUACAUAUCACUCAGAAGAAAUAAUUUUGAAGAAGGGGUUAGAAACCCUAACUUGAAAUAAUCAGAAAAGCUAAUUAGAAAUAGAGUAGAAAACAAAAAAUCAAACUAAGAGUUAUUUUAUAAUAGUAGAGAUUGAAGAGAAUAAAUUAGACAAAUUAGGGAAAUGAAGAACCUGGCUGUGAAAUUCGUAUACAAUGCCAUAAAAGGCAUCAUCGUUCAAAGACCACCGGAGAAAAACCAGAAACAGACCCCAAAUAGAGUUUCAGUGACCAUCUUCCAUGGCGGAAGUUGCUAGGCUUCAAGCUUGAUAGAGGAAACCACGAUAUAGGGACUCCAUGAUUUUUUGAAGUCAAGAGGAGUGAGGGAGGAGUGAGCUGGUAUGGCGAUGAAGGCCAUGAGAGAAACAGAAGGUUCUAGAGAGACAAAGGGUUAGAGAGUGUUUGGGAGUGAAAAGGUAUACAAGAGCAGCAUAUUGAGAGAAAUGAUAUAGGAUAAAUGUGGGUCAUGGGUUUAAUUAAGGUAAGGUCAAUCGUGGACCGUUGAUCAAAAUAAUCAACGGCCACGAUUUAAAAUUGGGAUCAGGGUGGGUUGGUCCAACUAGGUUUGGUUCAGGUGGUUUAGUAAUUGGGUCAUGAGUUGGGGGGUGAAUUCGGGUUAAAAAUAUUGCCAAAAUUGAAAGGUUAAAGGGAUAAAAUUUAGAUGCCCAAAUUUCCCCUAAUUUAAUUUUGUAAAAUAGCAAAUGAUUUUAUAAAAAUCCAUUUGAGAAAAUAAAAUAUGUUUAGGAAUUAAUUAAAAAUAUUAGGAACAAUUUUAUACUUGAAAUACUUAUUAAAUUGAGAAAUAGGCCAAAAUUAUAAUUCAAUGCAAUGUUAGUUUAAAAAUACCUAACGGCUUUGUAAAACUUUUAUAAAAAUUACAUAUAUUAAUUUUUUACGUAGAUGAAAGAGUACAAUAAAUUAUUUAUUAAAAUAACAAGAUUUUAUACUAAAUUAUGUAUUUUCUAGUACAAAAUUAGUUGUAAAUAGGUUUUAAAAUACUUGGAAAAAUAUAGAAAAAAUACCAAACUUUUUGUGGAUGCUUAUAUAUGCAUUCACAAGCUAUUGUGAAAAUAUUUUGGGUGCAAAAUACAUAGGAAAAAAUUGGGUAUCAACAACUACCCCUCUUUACCCAAUGAAGAUGAAAGACUUGUCGGGUAACGAUAAGAUGACCAAUUUUGAUCAGAAAUGACGAUUGUAAGAUAAUUUCGACUGCGCGCUGGAUCUAAGCUGCCUACAUAUCCCUAGUUUAACAUGAAUUAGGUCGUGUGUAGUUCAGGAGCCAUUGGUGGAAUAUGCCAAUGAAAAUUUUGGAAAAGGUAGGCACAACUGGGUUUGAAAUUUUGUCAAGUGUUCGGGAUUGGACGGUUAUGAAAACAUGGAGUGGGAUCACUUCCGAUGAGAAGACCGUGUCGGCUGGUGUACCUGCAAAUUAACGGUGUGCGGAUAUUUUGCAUAAUUUAAACGUGAUGCAGGUUCCCUUUGGACCAUCUUCGGAUGAUUAAGAGGGCGUCCUCAGACUAUGACGUCUUGGGAUAUGAAGAGCAUAAAAGUAAAGAUUCACAUGCCAUGAUAUGGUGUUCUCGGGAUAUGCAGAUGGUGCCUCUGAACUAUGAUGCCUUUGAAUAAGUUGGUGAUAUUUUAGCCCAUGAAAAGGUGGCAAUCUUUCAGCCGGAUGAAUGCAAGGGUGGCGAUGUUUCAACCAUAGCGAGAAUUUAAAAAUGCAGGGCGGUGAUAUUUCAACAAAAUGAAACAAGGUGGCAAUAUGGAUGAAUGCAAGGGUGGCGAUGUUUCAGCCAAAGCGAGAAUUUAAAAAUGCAGGGCGCUGAUAUUUCAGCCAAAUGAAACAAGGUGGCAAUUGUUCAGCCAAAUACAAAAUAAGGGAGGUAGAGCUUAACCUCGAAAGGCACAGAACAGCCUUGUGCAAUUAAGAUGGAGACAGAGCUUAGUCUCGAAAGGUAGAAGAUAGCCUUAUGCAAGAUCGAGGUAGAGCUUAACCUCGGAAGGUAGAGAAUAGCCUUAUAAAGGAUGGAGGUAGAGCGUAACCUCAGAAGGCAAAGAGUAGCAUUAUGCAAGAUGCAGAAUGCAGAUGGAGACAGAGCUUAGUCUCGAAAGGCAGAAAAUAAGCUUAUGCAGGAUGGAGGUAGAGCUUAACCUCGGAAGGUAGAGAGUAGCCUUAUGUAAUGCAGGAUGGAGAGAGAGCAUAGCCUCGGCAGGUAGAAGAUAGCCUUAUGCGGGAUGGAGGAGGAGUUUAGCCUCAAAAGGAAAAGAGUAGCCUUAUGCAAUGCAAAAAUGCAGAUGGCGACAGAGCUUAGUCUCGAAAGGCGAACAAUAGCGUUAUGUAAGAUGGCGGUAGAGCUUAACUUCGAAAGGCAGAGAGUAGCCUUACGCAAUGUAAAAAUGCAGGAUGGGGUUAGAGUUUAACCUCGUAAGAUAGAUAGUAGCCUUAUUCAAUGUAAAAAUGCAGGAUGGGGGCAGUGCUUAGACUCAGAAGGUAGAAAGUUGCCUUAUGCAAUAAAAAAUGCAGAUGGAGAUAAAGAUUAGUCUCGUAAGGCACAAAAUAACCUUAUGAGGAAAAGCUUAGCCUUCGAUGGCAGUAAAUAGCCUUAUGCAGGAUGGAGGCGGAGCUUAGCCUCGGAGAAUGUAGAAAUAUAAAGGAGAGGAUGGUGGUGAUUUUCUUAGCUGGAUAGAUGAUUGCGACAUCAUGACUGCUGGGGAAGCAUUGAAUGUAGGUAGUAAACCUUUGUGAAGUAAGUAGUGGUUUCGGGAAUUUCAGUUUUUGUAAAGCUCCAAUAUCGCCUAUUUGUACCCUGGAUUCCUACAUCCAAAGAAAAAUCGUGAGUUCUGUAAAAGGGGAGGUUAGUUCGCAUCCCUUGGCUCAUGGUGUCCUAUACCAUUUGGGGUAGCGUUGCUGAAGCACGACAACCUUGUUGGCUCCGGAAUUUUGAGGUUGCUCCUCUAAAUUCUGCCCUAGUUUACUGGGUUGGUGCUGUCGACAGCGGUGUAGAAUGACUGAAAGGGGAUUGACCUUAAAAUUUUGAGGGUCCUCAAAAUUCUACCCCAGUUUACUGGGUCGAUAUUGAAGAAAAUUUACAAGACGACUUCAAAAUUUUGAGGGUCCUCCUUAAAUUUCUGCCCCAAUUCCUAAUGCGGGGGAAAUGGAAUUUUAUUAGAGAUCGUGACUGAACCUAUAGGGAUGCCUACGUAUCCCCUCUUAAACGGGAAUCAGGUCAGACGUAGUUCAAAUUACAUCAUAAAGAACGGCAUACAAUCAAAUGUAGUAUCUCUUCACUGCAUCUGAGAUGAUCAGUUUUGGCCAGAUGUCUCUAUCCAUGAUUUUGGCCAGAUUUCUCCAUCCAUCUCUGCAAGAAUAAGGGCUCCCAUAGAUAGAAGCCGGUGAACCAUGUACAGACCCUGCCAGUUGGGAGAGAACUUUCCUUUGGCCUCAUCUUAAUGUGGAAAUAUCUUCUUCAACGCCAGCUGCCCUGAUGUAAACUUCCUUGGUUGAACUCUCUUGUUGAAGGCUCUGGACAUUUUCUUCCGAUAUAACUGAUCGUGACAAACUUCGUUCACUCUCUUUCCAUCUAUAAAGGCUAGUUGCUUGUAGUGAACCUUGACCCAUUCUGCGUCCUCUAGCUCAGCUUCCUGUAUGAUUCGUACGGACGAAAUUUCUACCUCGGCGGGAAUUAUCGCUUCUGUAUCAUAAACUAGCAUGUAGGGAGUUGCCCCGAUUGAUGUGCGUACUGUAGUGCGAUAACCCAAUAAAGCAAAUGACAACUUCUCAUGCCACUUCUUAUGCCUUUCGAUCAUUUUCCAUAGUAUUGUCUUGAUGUUCUUGUUGGCUGCUUCUAUGGCCCCAUUCAUCUGAGGUCUAUAAGCUGCAGAGUUUCUGUGGUCCUCACAAAAAGUCUUGAUGUUCUUGUUGGCUGCUUCUAUGGCCCAUUCAUCUGAGGUCUAUAAGCUGUAGAGUUUCUGUGUCUGAUCUUGAAAGUCUCACAUAUCACUUUCAUGAAGUCGCUGUUGAGAUUGGGACUGUUAUUAGUGAUGAUUGACUCCGGAACACCGAACCGAUAGACAACAUGAUCUCAGACAAAGUCUGCCACGACUUUCUUGGUUACUGCUUUAUAUGAUGCUGCUUCAACUCAUUUAGUGAAAUAAUCAAUUGCCACUAAGAUGAACCUAUGUCCAUUUGAGGUGCAGGCUCGAUUAGUCCAAUAACAUCCAUUCCCAAUGUGGCAAAUGUCCAUGGUGAGCUCAUUGCAGUGAGCUCGUUUGGAGGUAUCUUUAUCAUAUCUGCAUGUAUCUGACAAUGAUGGCACUUCAGGACAUACUGAAUGCAAUCUAUUUCCAUAGUCACCCUGAAAUAUCCUGCCCCGAGUAUCUUCUUUGCUAGAACAAAAUCGUUCAUGUGCGGUCCACAAGUCCCUGAGUGCACUUCUUCCAGUAACUUGGUUGCUUCUGCCGCAUCGACACAUCUCAAUAGUCUCAAAUCAUGAGUCCUCCUAUACAGGAUUCCUCCGCUGUGAAAGUAAUUGUUGGACAACCAUCGAAGCUUGCGCUUUUGAGUAACUUUAGCAAACUCUGGAUAUUCCCCUAUUGUUAGGUACUCUUUGAUAUCGUGGAACCAGGGCUUUCCAUUGGUUUCUUCCUCAACAUGUGCACAAUAAGCCGGUUGAUCCUAAAUCUUGACCAGGGUAGGGUCGAUGAAAUUUGUCUCUGGAUGCUGAAUCAUGGAUGAUAAAGUGGUAAGCACAUUUGUGAACUCAUUCUGUAUCCUUAGAACAUGCUGGAAUUCCGUUUUUCUGAACCUCUUUCUCAACUCUAGUGUGUAGUGCAGAUAAGGGAGUAUCUUGGAAUUCUUAGUUGCCCAUUCUUCUCGAACCUGGUGUAUGAGUAGGUAUGAAUCCCCAAUCACUAUCAGCUCCUAAAUUUUCAUAUAAAUGCCAGUUUAAGCCCCAAGAUGUGAGCUUCAUACUCGACCAUAUUAUUGGUGCACGGGAACCUGAGCUUUGCAGAUACCUGGAAAUGUUGACCGAUUUUCGAUAACAGGACUGCUCCAAUACCAACUCCAUUGAAAUAUGUAGCCCCAUCAAAAAACAUCCUCCAACCGCAAUAGGAUUCUGCAAUAUCUUCUCCUAUGAAAGCCACUUCCUCAUCGGGAAAAUACAUCUUCAAUGGUUCGUACUCUCCUCCAUAGGAUUUUUUGUGAGUGAUCUGCUAAAGCCUGUCCUUUAACUACCUUCUGGGUGACAUAGACAAUGUCGAAUUCAGUCAACAAAAUUUUCCUCUUGGCGAGCUUGCCAGUAGGCAUGGGCUUCUGAAAAAUAUACUUUAUUGGACCCAUUCUUGAUAUAAGGUAGGUAGUGUAAGCAUAGAAAUAAUGCCUCAACUUCUGAACUAUCCAAGUCAAAGCACAGUAGGUGCGUUCUAGCAAGGAAUACCGGGCCUCGUACGGGGUAAGUUUCUUGCUGAGGUAGUAAAUAGCUUGCUCCUUCCUCUCUAUUUCAUCAUGUUGUCCCAAGACACAACCAAAUGCUCCAUCCAAAGCUGCGAGAUAGAGCAAUAAGGGCCUCCCAGGCUCAGUGGAACCAGGACUGGAGGCGUAAACAAGUAUUCCUUGAUCCUUUUUAAAGCCUUUUGUCAUUCAUCGGUCCAUUUGGUGGCGGCAUCCUUUUUUAGCAUCUUGAAGAUAGGUUCGGAGAUGACGGUAGACUAAGCUACGAACCGGCUGAUAUAGUUGAGUCUACUCAAGAAACUCAUUACCUCUUUCUUGCUCUUCGCAGUGGCAACUCCUGAAUAUAUUUUACCUUUGAUGGAUCUAGCUCUAUUCCUUAGUGAAUCAUGGUGAACCCAAAUAACAUUCCCGCAGGGACACCAAAUGCACACUUGGCGGGAUUCAGUUUCAAGUUAUACCUCCUUAGUCUGUUGAAAACCUUUCGGAGGUCCUCCAUGUGAUCAUCAACCUUCUUGGACUUAAUGAUGAUGUCGUCCAUAUAUACCUCAAUCUCCUUGUGUAUCAUGUCAUGAAAGAGGGUAGUCAUGGCCCUCAUGUAAGUAGCUCCCGCAUUAUUCAAUCCGAACGACAUUAUUCUACAGCAAUACAUUCCCUAAGGCGUGAUAAAUUCCAUUUUCUUUGUAUCUUCUUUUAUCCAUCCAUAUCUAAUGAUACCCCUCAAAGCAAUCGACGAAUGACGGAAACUCAUGCUUAGCACAGUUGUCGAUAAAAAUGUGUAUGCUCGGCAAGGGGAAAUUAUCUUUGCGACUGGCCUAGUUGAUAUCCCGGUAGUCGACACAGACUCUAACUUUUCCAUCCUUCUUCGGUACUGGAACAAUGUUAGAUAACCAAUUUGGAUACUUUACCACUUGAAGAACUCUGGCUUUGACCUGCUUGGUGACCUCUUCUUUGAUUUUUAAACUCAUAUCUGGCUUGAAUUUUCUGAGCUUCUGCUUUACUAGCGGACAUGCAGGAUCUGUCCGCAACUUGUGAGCGACGAUGGAUGUGCUGAGGCCAGUCAUACCAUCGCUUUACCAGCAGACAUGCAGGAUCAGUCGACAACUUGUGAGCAACGAGGGAUGUGCUGAGGCCAGUCAUACCAUCAUAAGACCAUGCAAAGAUAUCCUCAUAUUUCCUCAAGAAUUUUAUGAAUUCCUCUUUCUCUAUCUGUCAUAAGUACACACUGAUACGCGUUUCUUUAACACUCUCUAUAUCUCCCAAAUUGAUGACUUCGGUUUUAUCCAAGUUGGACUUAGGUCUAUUCUCAAAAAUUUUGGUCUGUCUAACAACCUCUUCUAGUAUAUCCUCCUCCUCUGAGUCUAUGUCCGUUUUUUUCAUAGCCUCAACGCAAGUUACAGUUGUUGUUUAAUCAUCAAUAUACGUAAUAGUAAUGUUGUGUGAAAAUAAAGUAAAUAGUAGAGAAAAGUAAUAAAUAUCAAGAUAUUUGAUAAAACUGAAAAAUGUUGUUGAUUAAAUUUAUAAAUGUUCAAAACAUCGCAGAUCUUUCGGAAAGUAAAGAUAAAUGCGGAAAAUAAAGAAAACAACUAAAACAAGAUGCAUGAUGCUUGUUCAGGCUUUCUACCCCAAAGGUUUUCAGGCGAUGGUGGUCCUGAUUAACAAGUUGAUGAAGCGCUCCCCUCGAUUCACAGCCUGAAUGGAAGGACCUUCCUCCCCUUCCUCUUCAAAGAUCACACAACAGUCCAUGUCCUCCAGAAACAGGUUUUUCAUUGCCGCAAGAGCCUCGUCUUCUUCUGACCCGUAGACAGUGUCGGCUGGCUAAAAUGUCCGCUCUAACUGAGGAAUGGGGUGCUCCAAUGGGUAAUAUGGGCCAUGCCAUGGUGGUGACAAGUUCUUGAAUUCCUGCCAAGUGUACUCGUACCCCAAUCCGAAGGUAGUACCAUGUUUCUUCAGCCGGAUAGGUUUGGUGAUACCUUGAAGAUUCUUACCAAGUCCUUUUCCUGGUUCAUACCCACUCCAAUUAAGAAUGCUCUCAACCUUGUUGCUCCACCAUUUGUUCUUAUCUACUGCGUUGACCCGCUCGAUAUGAUGAUAUGUUUCCCCGCCUAUUCUUCUUCUGCCUCCAAUCAUGGAAUGGUCUGGCGACUGUAUAUGGGGUUGCUACCGUCGCCAUGGAUGAUUACUUCCUGAUAAUUUCGACCUUGUUGCUCCACCAUUUGCCCUUAUCCAUUGCGUUGACCCGCCCAAUACGAUAAUAUGUUUCUCCGCCUAUUUUUCUUCUGCCUCCAACCAUUGGAAUGUUCUGGUGACUUGUAUAUGGGGUUGCUACUGUUGCCAUGGAUGAUUACUUCCUGGUGGUUCCAUUCGAACUUUACAGCCUGAUGCAUGGUGAAUGCUACAGCCCCAGCGGCGUGGAUCCAGGUUCAUCCCAGUAGUAAGUUAUAAGAUGCUGGUAUGUCGAUGACAUGGAAAUCAACAUCAAACCAAGUGGGCCCCAUUUGCAAGGGUGAAUGCUGCAGCCCCACCGGAAUGGGCACCUAUGGAGGAAAAAUAGCAACUUCAAUUGCUGCAUGCGUCUUUAGAUUCCCGAAUGCCACCUCAAUUAGUUUUGGAACUCUUGCAGGAGGUGCCUCAAAUUAAAAUGGUACAGAUAUAUUCACCACGUUGUCCUUAGAUGGCAUGAUUUGCACAACAAUAGGAUUAAGAGUGACCACAUGUUUCUUGGGCUCAUCUCCUAGAGAUAUCAAGCCAAUCGACACUUCGGGGUCCCAGUCAUCUUCUACCUCAAUCAUCUGGAUGCCUCCACCUUUAUGGUCUGGCAAAGGGUUGUUACGAACAUUAGGAGCAGGCUCCUUAGCUAUGAUGACCUUGUUGUCAAUUAAGGUAUGAAUUUUGUCCUUCAACGAGCAUCACUCAUCAAUGGUAUGGCCCUUCAUCCCAGAAUGGUAUGUGCAGGUUUUAUUUGGGUUUAUCCAUUGGGAGGGGUUUUCUGGGGUUACGGCUGGGAUGGGUGUAACAUAUCCAGUGGCUUUGAGCUUCUCAUAUAAUUGGUCAAUGGGUUCAGCAAUAGCAGUGUACUGUCUGGGCGGUUUGCAGUCAAAGUUUGGUCUUGGUCGUAGGAAGUUUUUGCGGGUAGGCAGUGAUGGAUAGUGAGGAGGUUGGGGGUUGUAAGCUUGGUGUACGGGUGCAGGUUGGGAAUAUCCUGGCGAGGUUGGCUGAUAUGUUGGUGAUGGAGAUGUUUGGUAGACGGGAUGUGGAUUUUGAUAGGUGGGUGAAGGUGCCUGUUAACAUGGAUAGGGUUGGUAUGUGAGUGAUGUUGGAGGGUAGGGUUGGUAUUUCAUGGGAGAGUGGUUUCUUUACGUAGCCAUUACAUAGUUUACAUCCUUUUUCUUCGAUGAACCACAAAAUUGCAAUGCAUUGUUGGUGGCCUAUAGUGCGUUCAGCAAUAGCAGUGUACUGUGUGGGCGGUUCGCGCUCAAAGUUUGGUCUUGGUCGUAGGAAGUUUUGGCGGGUAGGCAGUGAUGGAUAGUGAGGAGGUUGGGGGUUGUAAGCUUGGUAUAGGGGUGCAGGUUGGGAAUAUCCUGGCGAGGUGGGCUGAUAUGUUGGUGUGGAGAUGUUUGGUAGACGGGAUGUGGAUUUUGAUAGGUUGGUGAAGGUGCCUGUUAACUUAGAUAGGGUUGGUAUGUGAGUGAAGGUUGAGGGUAGAGUUGGUAUUUCAUGGGAGAGUGGUUUCUUUACGUAGCCAUUACGGAUUUUCCAUCCUUUUUCUUUGAUGAACCACUAAUUGCAAUGCUUUGUUUGUGGCUUGUAGUGCCUCAAGUUAGUAACCAUACCAUUUUUGAUCUCCUCUUCAAUACUUUCUCUCAGUUUGAUGAUAUCAGAGCACUUCUUCCCCUCUAUCAGCAUCAAUCUCUUGUAAUACUACGGGUCCUGAGCACGAACGAAAAAUCUGUUCAUUUGUUCUUAUUCCUAAGCCGGCCUGACUUUUGCAGCUUCCGAACUCCAACGAGUAGCAUACUCGUGAAAGGUUUCAGUAGGCUUUUGCUUUAAAAUUCUGGAUAUAGAACACGUCUGGCGCAUUCUUAGUGUUGAACCUAAAACAAUCCAUGAAAUCAAAUGCCAUGUUUACCCAACUAGUCCACUUCUUCGCAUCUUGGCUAAUAUACCAAGAUUGCGCAUCACCUUUCAAGCUCCUCAUGAACAGCUUCAUGUGGAUCUUUUCAUCUCUACCGACUCCCUCUAACUUGUCACAAUACAUCCUGAGGUGAACCCUAGGAUCACCCAUACCAUCAAACAUCUAAAACUUAGGAGGUUUGUACCCCUCCGGGAGCUCGACAUCAGGCUGGACACACAAGUCUUCAUAAUUCAGACCUUCCACACAUUUGUUAAGUUCCACGCCUUGAACCCUGCUAGUGAGUUUCUUGAGUUCAGCAGCCAAGUUCUUAAUGAGUGAAUCUGAUUCUGACACAUCUGAUAUGGGUUGUGUAUAGUAUGGCACAAUAUCCACAAAGAUAGGGGUAUCCUGGUUUUUUGGAGCAUUUUGAGGCUCAGCGAUGAGCGAUGGAGAUUUUUUUGAGCUUGUCUUGGAAUCUUUUGUGGAGCUGCAGGGACCUGGUAGUUGACAUCUGCAGCAGCAAAGGAGAUGGACAAGCAUGCCAAACUCCGGACCUGGUCCAAUUCCUCUUGAAAUCUUAGCAAAUUUUGUUCCUAGUGAGCAGCAGUUUCUUUGGUGAUCUGGGUACCCUGAGAAGUUCCUUCAAUUUCCUUUCUUGCUUCAUUAUCUCCCAACUUUCCUUUGUUCCUAUUUCUGGGAGGACUCAGAGGAGGAGGACCCUUUGAUUCUCCACCUAUUUUUCUUCUCCCAACUUUCCUUUGUUCCUAUUUCUGGGAGGACUCAGAGGAGGAGGACACUUUGAUCUUAUUGAGUAUGAUGAUGUGCCAGAAUGCGCGAACUAACCUUUGGGAGGGGAUUAAAAAAUAAAAGAAAAACAAAAGGUAAUAAGUUAGUGAGCAUUCUGAGAAAGAAAACAUUACGGUAUUUAAACACAUUGUUGAAGGAACAUAAGUCGUUUCCUAUUUGGGUGCCUCGUUGUGCCCGAGGUAGGCCUAACGACAAAUAUAAUUUGGAGAACUCAUAAUACCAGAUGCCUCAUUUUAUUGACAUAAAAUAGAACGAGUCAAAACAAACUGAAAUAGAAAAAUUGUCACUAGUGGCCAAAGGCCUUAUUAUAUCAAGAAAGUAGUAAAAUCCUAACUACUUCGUCCCGGAAGGACCUUCCCAAGAUUCGGUAUCUUUGCCUCUAUCGUACAGUUUGAUCAGCUCGCGCAGUCCCAGAAACAAGUAAGCUCGAGCCAAGUUCCUACUUUUAUUACUGUCAGCUUCCUAACAGUCAUUUUUCCUUUUAAAAAAUGUGCCUUCCAACUCCACUAGACCCCGCUCCAAGUACCCUAAAUGGUUGAUUGGGCGGACAGCCAUGUCGUUCCAUUCAUUGAUUACCUUCUCUUGAGUAUCUAGCAUUUCCCGAUGUUCACUUUCACACUCUCGCAUCCGCUUGCGCAACUGAUUAUCCUUGACCUUUGUUGUAGCCUCCUCAUCAAUAACCCUGUGACCAUGGACGAAACCCAUUUUUCCCAAGCCAAUGUAAUCAUCUUCUAGCCACCAUGGAUAAAGCGGCGCAUGCCCCACCCGAGGCCUAUCUGGCUCCAUAGAUCCAUUUCCAAAAAUGAUUUUGGAGUGCCACAUAUGCUAAGCCUGACGCCUGUAUGGGCUAUCGUCAUCCUGAAAAUCAGCCGUGUAGGGACUCAUCUUUUCCACCCUUGGUAAAAUUUUCUUGCCUCAUGACUUGAAGAGGGGCAUAAGGUAAGUUCCCCUUAAGCCGAUGAGUAAAAGGAAUAGUGCAUCCCUAGACCAAAUGAUAAACUUUCCAGUUGGAAACCAAUCGCACAUCCAUUGUACCUACUCUUCUCUCAUAUUCCCUAAUAGUUCCACCCAUCCACUAGCUUCUUCGGGGUGAGCAAACAUUUCCGGCAUGAAGUGCAUCCGCCUUGGAUGAUGGAAAGCAAUAUGGUCAUCCCAAUGUUGUCACAUGAUCCCUUGUCUAUAGUCUCCCUUCUGAAGAUGCUCGGUGAGGCAGAGUUGUAGUAGCAAAUUGCCCCCUUCAAAGUGCGGUGUUAUGCUGAAUGUCUGCCCGUUGAUACCCUCCAUUACAGAUUUGGUUACCAUAGCUAGUCUUGUAUGGAUUCUAGCCUUCUUCAUCGGAUAUCAUGCCCAAAAAAUAGAACAUGAAUACAAAAUCACUUCUAUGUAUGUGCCCCAAAGAGGUGAGGGCGAACUCGUUCAUAUGAUUGCAGUAUGAUUUUCUAUGUCCGAACCUUUCAUACAUGAAGUCGAAUGAUAUGAAGGAGUCCUUCAGACUGGUCAGAUUAGGAUUCUUCUUGAGCCCCAUCAAUUUCAAGAACCCUCUACCUUUGCGGUUUUCCGUCAUAAGCAGCCCCGGGCUAUCCCAAGGAAUUCCGGCUAGACCCCUAAUUUCUUCCAACAGCGGCGUCAUUUCAAUGCCUCCAAAGCGGAAGACAAACCGUUCACUAUCCCAAAACAUAGUGGAGCUCCCACAAUAUUAUUAUCUGGCCUAACUUCCAGAAGUGAAGGAAGAUUUCCUAAGUGCUUGCGGACAUGAACCCAAUUACUACCAUGCAAAGCAUCCCACCAGCUUAGCAACUUUAGAUGAAUGUUUGAUACCAUAUCGAAUCUGGGGACUUCGCUCCUCAUUUUCCUGUAAAAUAGAGAGUUAGGCCCUCAACCCCACCGGACUCAGCUAUUUAAAUCAAUAAUUCGCAAAGGUAUUUAAUUCUCAAAAUCAAUGCACAUAACGUGAUCGUUCAUUUGGGUUUUGAGAAAACCCGAUGGACUUUGGUUUAGGCUAUCCUAAGGAGUCGUUAUGCACACAACAUAACUGAUUCGUCUAAGUUUGACCAUGAUGCAUGAACAUUUAACAGAAUAAGGUUUCUACUUUUGAAGUGCUAGACAAGGUACCCUUGAGCGGACAACUCAUGAGGGAAAGGCGCGGAAUUUUCGACUACACCGUUGAUCGAUUGGUUUUACUGCAGAUAUGCCUUUGCCAAAUUUAGGGGGUGAUAAUAUAAGAAGGGUGCAAACAAAACCGUCGACACCGCUGAUUGACUGGUUUUACCGCAAAUAUGCCUUUGCCAAAUUUGGGGGGUUUAUAAUAUGGAUGAGUGCAACCACUCAUUAUAAGCGUUGUUAUAGCAUUUUUUUUUUGGCAUGAGUGGAAAAUUAUGUUGAAGGAUGCAAUUACAAUAAAGAAAUAAGUACAUGUAUUUUCACGUUCGUACAAUGAUGGUUACAAUGAAUGCUCGAAAUAAAAGACGGAAUUGAAAUAAAGUAAAGGCAAUAAAGUAGUAAAACAGUUAAAGAAAAAAGAAAGGCACGAAGAAAUAAGUUAGAAAUUGUGAGAAUAAAAAAAAUAAUUAAAGCAAUAAAUAAAGAAAGCAAAAUGAAAAAAGAAAGACACGAAGAAACAAGUUAGUAAUUGUGAGAAGAAAAAGAUAUUUAAAGCAAUAAAUAAAGAAAGAAAUAAAGUCACAAAACACGUAGUGGUAAAAGCCUAAAAGAAAGUCCCCAGCAGAGUCUCCAUGCUGUCGACGCCCCCUUUUUCCUCCUUAAAACAAAGCAAAAUCGUGAUUAAAACAUUAUGAGCAAACCAACUUUAUUUCCUAUUUGGUAAUUGGGUUAUGGAUUUCGAAGAGUCGCCACCGAAUGAUUAUAGUGUAUUAGGACACUUAAGAGAGAUUAUUUUGAAAAGAAAACCCGAAUUCAGGUAAGGGCUUGAGAUUAUCUCGAGGGAAGGUGUUAGGCACCACUCAAGAUCAACUAAUGUGGUUCCCGGCCGUGUUAAUUGUGACUUUAUGAAAGGUGAAGCAAUUAAGCAAGUAAAGCUCACAAAUAUAGCAUUUAUAUAACUUGAAGAAAAAAGCUUUGAAGAAGAAAAAGGUACGCAAAUUUAAAAUAAAGAAUGUUGAUUUGAAAAGCGUUACUAAGAAACAACAUUUGAAUAAAACAAGAAAAAGAGAGAAGGAUCCUACGUUUAAUCACUCAAUGCAAUAUCCCGCACAUAUUCCCAAAGAGGGAUCGCUUUAUUAUAUUAUCGCAUUGUCAUCAUCUUCAUAUUCUGCCCUUCCCACCCCUUAGAGAUUAUUUAAGCGUAUGAAUUGGUCACGAAUGCUUAUUGCGUGCUAUUUCCCGUCUCGUCCUAUAGAUCCUAGAGGGAAUUUAGGAUCACUAUUCCUAUAAGGUUGGAACUAAGCCGAACCCUUAAGUUUAAAGGUUAAAAUACUAGGCGACAUACAAAAAACAGAUAAGACUUGCACAUAAAGGAAUCACAUAAGACAUGUAAAGGCUCAAAUAACCCUGUAAGACAACACGUAAUUAGCACGUCUCAAACACAUGUAAGGUCUAAGGAAGAGAGAGGGUUUUAAAAGCUGGAGUGUUGACAAAUAUAUUUCAAGAUAGCAGCUGAAGAAAAGUUCAUACAAAACAGAAUUCGCAUACAAGGGUUGGAUGAAAACUUUUGGGAAUCAAGAGAGGCAAACGGAGGUGAUGAAUUGAAACAGAAGUGGGUGAGUUUGCAGAAAAACAUAAGAGAAAAACGUUAAGAACUUAAGAGAGGCAGUAUAAGUUCAUUUAUUUAGAAAUAUGCAUAAGUCACUUAGAAACAUUUGGAAGGCCUUGUAAAACGGUUUAGUCAGGCAAAGUAAGAGACUGGGCAUGAAAGAAUUUUGAAGUUACAGAACAGUAAACAUACAUGCCUUUUGAGCUUUUGAAACUUAGUACGCAGAUAGUUGAUAUAGUGGUCUAAUCUGGAUAGGAAAAGCAGCAAAACAUUUUUGCAUAGAUGAUUUUAAAAAUAUGUGACAGAAGCUUGUAAAAAAUAUGGAGAGGGAUUUUAGAAACAGACAGAUUCCGACCGAAGUGAAUUACCUCAAAUCAAGACUUGAAAGUGAUUAGCACAUUAUAUCAUUUUAUCUGGCCUAAGAUUUGCCUAGGUGUUAUGAGAAAUGGUGAGAAUUGGCUUCUGAUUUUAAAAAGGAGUCAGUUUUACAAUUUUAUUCAACAAGAUUAGUGAGGCAUUCAACAUUUGCAAAAGAGAGACCCUAAGUACAUGAUUGCUAAUGCAUAUAAAAGCCCUAUUGCAUGGUAUCUAAAUGGAAAGCAAUAAUUUUGAUUAUUAACUGAAAGAUAAAGAGUUGAAAGUAAAAGACCUAAAAACAGGAUUUCUACAUGUGAGAUGCAUGCAAUAUACAUGGUUUCUAUUACUCAAAUAGGUAAGUAAAACCCUAUAACAUGCUUUCUACCCAUAUCUUUAAUAAUCAUGCAUAACCCUCCCCAAUUUCACUAUAAUCCGUCAUUAUUCUUUAAAAAUUAUUACAACCAAGUAAUUAAAAAUACCACAGUAAUAAAAUAAAAUAAGACGCUAUUCUAUAGAGAGCCUUCAGCUAGGCCCAAGCAUCUCAAACCUCACUCCUUUCGAGUUUCAUUGCCAUUACCAAGGCUUGGGUGCGGCAAAGUUCCCUAAGGGUUUGUUUUAUCCCCUGGCCAAUACGAAGCACCCAAAAAUGUCCCAAUUAGAGAAGUGCAAAUAUUGGAAGUGCCAGCCUUGUGCAUCAGAGUUCCAUGGGUGCUCAAGGCUCCCAUGGCAGUGCUUACACUAGGGGGCAGACCCUAAUGCUCUAAGAAUAAGAUUGUACUUGAGAGAGUUGAAAACAGUUGAGAGACAUUUAAGAAAAUAUGGUUGGAAAAAAUUAAAAAGUUAAUGCAUUUUGAAGAAACGGUUGAAAGAGUUGAAAAGGUUCUGUUGAAAUUAUUUUAGACUGACCAGUUUUAGAACAGCAGGGCAUCACACAAACAUGGGGAAAGGGAAAGGGGAACAAAUAAGUAAAGUGAACUACAGGCAUAUAUACAACAUGCUCAAGGAAACUAAUUAGACAUGAUUGUAAGCCAAGGGUUUAAUUUCUUACUGCAUCAAAUUCUAAUACUUAGCUUCAAACAGAGAUUUUAGGUUAAACAAGUAGCCAACCAGACAUGGAUGCAUGGUAGCGGCAUUCAAUGAAAACAUCCAUUGAGACAGGGAGGGGAUAAGGGAACAAAUAAGUAAAGGGAACAGACAACAUGUUGGGUAAAAUUAAUCAGACAUGGUUAAAAACAAGGGUUUAGCUCUUACUGUACCAACCCAAAUUUAAUCAACCUCAGAUAGAGGUUUCAGGGCCGUUAAGUAGCCAAACAGUGGUGCACAUGGAAGAAGACCGUGCAUAGAGACAGGGAAAGGGGAAUAGGGAAAACAUGCUAAGUUACACUAGUAGACUAGUAAGUAAUAUGCUAGUGACAAAGAUAGCAACAAAACCAUAGAUAAAAGCACACAAGAAAUAAUAUGAAUUGUAAAAUUAAUAGGAACAUGCUAUUUUGGAAACUGUAUCUCAAAUAGGUGACAUACCAGUUGUAGGAAAUAGGAUACAAUAGAAAUUUACAAAGGGAGAGAAAAUUGUGCAAAGAAUGAAAUUGUAGGAAAUAGGAUACAAUUUACAAAGGGAGAGAAAAUUGUGCAAAGAAUGAGAGCAGUAGUGUGAGAAUAACAGUAGCAGGAAAAUAGUAGCAUCAAUAGGAGAAUAGCAGCAGCAACAGAUCCAAUGUAGACAACCAAAUAGAACCCAGUAGUGUAAAGUAACAAAUCAAGUUACUCGGUCUUGGCUGUUAGCCAAUUGAGUGUGUAAAGAAGAGAAUGAGAGUAUAGUAAUAGCAGAGACAGACAGAAUUCAUAGAGUUUUAGAUUGUGAGAGAAAUGUGUAUUGUGUUUCUCAAAGAGAGAAGUGAGGAGUAUUUAUAGUACUAAAACGAGUAACCAAAUAAGGUGUCAAUCCCUAUUUAAGGAACUGAUAUUAAUCAGAAUCGAAUAAGCAUAGGGACUCCACUUUGAUUAAGGAAUCAUAGUCAAACGGAAUUAAGCAGUCCCUUGUUUUUAAAGGAAAAGAAUCACAAAGUAUGGCAUUGUCACAUAAGGAAACAUAAUUGUAUAAUGUAUACAAUGCAGACUAGGUAAAUUAAACUUUAACCAAGGAAAUCUGUCAAGUAAAUAAGUAGACAUACUUGUACACACAUAUAAGGAAAAGUACCAUUUUAAUUCUGGAAAAUAAUUUUCGAGAUUGAAAACCUAGGAAAUCAAUUAUUAAUUGGNNNNNNNNNNNNNNNNNNNNNNNNNNNNNNNNNNNNNNNNNNNNNNNNNNNNNNNNNNNNNNNNNNNNNNNNNNNNNNNNNNNAACUGAUUGAGGAAAAUCAAUACCAAACUGUAAAGAGAAUACAAAAUCACAAUUUUAAAGCUAAUAAUCAUAUCCUUAAAGAGUUGGUAAGAGUCAGUAUAAAAGCACCAAAUAAACAACCAAAAACCUCAAGAGAAGAACAACAGCAUGGUAUGGGAAUGAAACAUUAGCAACAAAAAUCAAAGAAAAAGGCACGGGGCUGAUCGAAUAAACCAGAAGAAACAUACAAAUAGGCAAAUACAGAUAUAAACAUGUAGGGUUAGGGUUUUUUAUCAGAUUUUAACAAAAUACUUUAGGAGUAGUACUGAGAGCCAAUGAUUAGUGCUAAAAGUAAGAAAAGCAAACUAUUUUCAAAGGGGGUUAAGAAACCCUAAAAUUUACAGUAUUAAACUCAUGUUAUCAAAUAAAACAAACAAACAAGUGAAAUAAAGAAACGCAAAUGCAUACAUAGCACUCUGAAAGAGUAGAAGGAAUACUUUUUAAGAAGGAGUUAGCAACCCUAACUUGAAAGAGCGAUAAUCAUUGAGAAAAUUUGACAUAAUUGGAAAAGCUAAAUAGAAGUAGAGUAGAAAACAAAAAAUCAAACUAAAAGUUAUUUUAAAAGUGUAGAUAUUAAAGAGAAGAAAAAUUAUUGUUUUUAAACAGAUUAGGGAAAUGAAGAACCUUGCUGUGAAACCAGUAUACAAUGGCAUAAAAGGCAUCAUCGUGCAAAGACCACCGGAGAAAAGCUGGAAACAGACCCCAAAUAGAGCUUAGCGACCGUCUUCCACGGCGAAAGCUGCUAGGCUUCAAUCUUAAUAGAGGAAACCACGAUAUAGGGAAUCGAUGGUUGCCGGAAGUCGAGACGAGUGAAGGAGGAGUGAAAUGGCAUGGCGAUGAAGGCCAUGAGAGAACCAAAAGUUUCUAGAGAGACGAAGGGGUAGAGAGUGUUUGGGAGUGAAAGGGGAUACGAGGGUCACGGAUUGAGAGAAAUGAUUUAGGGUAAAGGGAGGUCAUGGGUUUAAUUAAGGUAAGAUCAAUCGUGGAUCGUUGAUAAUUAUGAUCAACGACCAUGAUUUAAAAUGGGGAUCCGGGUGGGUUGGUCCAAAUAGAUUUGGGUCGGGUAGUUUUGUAAUUGGGUCGUGAUUUAGGGGGUGAAUUUGGGUUUAAAAUGUGGCCAAAAUUGAAAGGUUAAAGGGCUAUAAUUUAAAUGCCCAAAUUUCCCCUAUUUUAAUUUUGUAAAAUAGCAAAUAAUUUUAUAAAAAUCCAAUAAAGAUAAUGAGAUAAUAAAAUAUGUUUAGGAAUUAAUUAAAAAUAUUAGAAAUAAUAUUAUACUUGAAAUACUUAUUUAAAUGAGAAAUAGGCUAAAAUUACAAUUAAUGCAAAUUUUAGUUUAAAAAUACCUAACGGCUUUGUAAAAAUUCUAUAAAAAUUACAUAGAUUAUAUUUUUACGUAGAUGAGAUAGUAAAUUAAAUUAUUUACUAAAAUAACAAGAUUUGAUACUAAAUUUUAGAUUUUCUAGUACAAAAUAAGUGGGGAAUUGGUUUUAAAAUAAUUGGAAAAAUAUAGAAAAUAUACCAAAAAUUUUGUAGAUGCUUAUAUAUGCAUCCACAAGCUAUUUUGAAAAUAUUUUGGGUAUAAAAUACAUAUGGAAACAUUGGAUAUCAACAGUAUCAAAAUGCAAUGGCAGUAACUUGAUUAUUAACUGAUUGUUGUGAUAAAAAAUAACAAGCGGAAAGUAAAAGACCUAAAAGCACGAUUUCUAUAUGUGAGAUACAUGUCUUAUACAUGUUUUUAUUGCACAAAUAGAGAAGUAAAAUCCUAUAAACAUGUUUUCUACCCAUACCCUUAAUAAUCAUGCAUAACUCUCCCGAAAUUCACUAUAAUCCCCAUUGUUUUUUACAAGUUAUUAUAGACCAAGUGAUUUAAAUAUACAAUAGUGAUAAAAAGAAAAAGUUAUUCUAUCGGGAGCCUACAGCCAAGCUCAAGAUCUCCAACCUCACUUCUUUCGAGUUUCACAACCGUUACCAAGGCUUGGGUGCGGUAAAGUUCCCUACGGGUUCGUUUCAGCCCCCGUCACCUAAAAUAUCACAAAUAGACAAGUGUGGAAGCGUCGGCCUUGUGCAUCAAAGUUCAACGGGUGCUCAAGGCUCCCAAGGUAAUGCUUACACUAAGAGGACAGAUCCUAAGGUUCUAAGAUUGAGAUUGUGAUUAGAAUUGAGAGAGCUGAGAGACAGUUUAACAAAAUAGUUAAAAGAUUUGAAGAAGUUUGAGACAGUUUAAGAAAAUAGUUGAAAGAGUUGUAAAAGUUUGAGACAAUUUUAACAAAUAUUUGAAGGAGUUGAAGAAGUCCUUCUAAAAUCAUUUGGACUUUUUUCAGGGCAUCACACAAACAGGGGAGGCAAAAGGGAAGGGGAACAAAUAAGUAAUGUGAACUAGUCACACACAGAUAACAUAUUGGAGGAAAAUAAUCAGGCAUGGUUCCAAAACAGGGGUUCACUUCUUACUGCAUUAAACCCCAAUAUAAUCAACCUAAAGGAUAUAUUUUAGGGCUGUUAAGUAGCUAAGCAAGCCUGAAUGCAUACUAGUAGUCCACAUGGAAGAGGAAGAACAUACAUUGAGCCAAGGAAUAGGGGGUAGGGGAGAACAUGUUAAGUGAAACUAGGUAGACUAAUAAAUACAUGCUAGUGGCAAUAAGAGCAACAAAACCAUAGGUAAAAGCACCCAAGAAACAAUAUGAAGUGUAAAACUAAUAGAAGCAUGUUGUUUUGGAUGCUAUAUCCUAAAUAGGUGACAUAACAGUUGCAGAUAAUAGAAUACGAUAACAAUGAGCAAUAGUGCACAAAGGGAGAGCAAAGUGUGCAGAGAAUUUGAGCAUGAGGGUGAAAAUAGUAGUGCAGAGAAGCAAGCAACACGCAACCCAAGCAACCAGUUGCAGAUAAUAGAAUACAAUAACAAUGAGCAAUAGUGCACAAAGGGAGAGCAAAGUGUGCAGAGAAUGAGAGCAGCAGGGUGAAAACGGUAGUGCAGAGAAGCAAGCAACACGCAACCCAAGCAAAUAAUGCAGUAGAAACCCAGUAGUGUAGUAGACAUCCAAGAUUACUCGAUCUUGGCUUUCAGCCCAUUGAUUGUUCAGAUAGAAGAAUGAGAGAGUGUACUAACAGUAGAUAAAGUGAGAGAAAGAGUGCAGAGAGUUUGAACUUGUGAGAGAUAUGCAAUGUGUUGGUUUUCGCCAAGCUUACUCGAUCUUGGCUUUCAACCCAUUGAGUGUUCAGAUAGAAGAAUGAGAUAGUGUACUAACAGUAGAUAAAGUGAGAGAAAGAGUGCAGAGAGUUUGAACGUGUGAGAGAUAUGCAAUGUGUUGGUUUUUGAAAGAAAGUUUAGAGAAUUCGUGUCUCUGUGUGAAGAUAAGAGUAGUACUUAUAGUUUUGAAAAUAGCAGAGAAUAGGGUAGGGAGUAUAUAGUCAUAGAAACGGUACCAAUUAGAAUCAAUCACAGGACCUUAAUUCAAAUUAAUCUUGGAUGCAGCUAUACCAUAUAAGGAAAGAAUAAAUUAGACGACUAAUUACACCAGAUUAAAGUAGAAUUAAUCUUGGAUGUAGCUAUACCAUAUAAGGAAAGAAUCAAUUAGACGACUAAUUACACCAGAGUAAAGUAGUAGGCAUGUAGUUUGCAAUAGAGGCGAAAUACAUAAUACUCAAAUAAGGAAAACAUAUACUGAAUAUUGUAAAAAAUAUUUAAGAGCACAAAUAUGGUAAGAAUAAAAAUUUAACUCUUAAAUUAGUCAAAUAAUUACUGAUGAGACUAAAAAUCAAAGGGAAUCAGUGCUAAUAUAGAGAGCAUUUCAUAAGCAAGGAAAUAAUUUAAGAAAUCAGUGUAAGAACCGUUAAGAAAAACGCAUACAUAUUAGGGAUUGCAUAGAAUCAUUCGAAUAACGAUUAGACCAAUAAACACAAUAGGCGCUGUUAGAACCGUUAAGAAAAAAGCAUACAUAUUAGGGAUUGCACAGAAUCAUUCGAAUAACAAUUAGACCUAUAAACACAAUAGGCGUGAAAAAUCAGAUAACACUGUGCAAGAAAUCAUAGAAGAGUAGAGGGUUGGAACCACAAUAAAAGAGUUUAAAGCAUGGAACUCCGAAACAAACAUGCUCAUAACAAAAACAAUCAUAUGCAUACAUAAUACUCAAUGGAAGCAGAAGAUGUAGUGAUCUUAAUAGGGGGUCGGAAACCCUAGCAAUAAAAAUUAAAGCAUGGACCCAAGUUAACAAGGACACCGAACAAACAAGUAAGAAAAUAAACACAAACGAAAAAAUAGUACUCAGAAAGAGCAGAAGAAACAAUUUUGAAGGACGGGGUCAGAUACCCUAAUUUGAAAGGGUAGUAGCCAUCUGAAAUUUGCAAUAACCGGAAACUCUAAGUAAGAAUAGAUUAGAAAACAAAAUCAAACUGAGAGUUGUUUUAAAAAAGCAGAGAUCAAAAAGGUUCGAGAAGAAAAAAUUAGGGUUUAUAAACAAAUUAGGGAAACCGAAGAACCUGGCCGUGAAACUCAUAUAUAAUGCCAUAGAAGGCAUCAUCGGACAAAAACCACCAGAGAAAAGCCAAAAACAGACCCAAGUGAAGCUUCUGUGAUCGUCUUUCAUGGAGGGAGCUGCUGGGCUACAAGCUUUAGAGAGAAAACAAUGAUACAAGGAUUCCAUGGCUACUCGAGGUCGAGAGAAGUGAGGGAAAAGUAUGGCUGGAGAGGUGAUGAUCUUCAUCGGAGAAGAA